UUUUUUUUUUCUUCAAGGUUCUCUUUGAAGGUUCUCUUGUAUUUUGUGAUCAAGUAUGGUUGUGAUCCUUUUUCAAUACAUGCAUUGUGAUAUAUCAGUUCUGGUUUUAGAGAUAUAUUGUAGUUUCUAAUUGAUGUCUACUGACUAAUAUCAUAAUUAACUCAUCUUCUGAAAUCUGUUGGUAUGGUACUGGUACUGAAUUCUGUCCAAGUUGAACUUUCCUCGUUAAACUAGGAUUCUUUAAUAUCUUCUAUUUCAACCAUCAGAAACUACGAAGGUUUUACUAUGGUAUCCAUCCUGAUUAAUAGACCACUUAGUUUUCUUUUGAGCCAAUAUGGUUAUUGAACUGACUGGAGUUCUCUGUUUAAGCAAUCCUUGCUCGGGUAGGAUUUAAUCAAAGCUCAGAAAUCUGUCCAUUAGAUUAAUCUAAGAUUUUAUAUCAUGUUUCUUCAUUAAACUAGCAUUCGACCAAGGUUUGGUCAAAAUCUGAGUUUCUGGAUUGGUUUGGUGAGAUUUCUCUUGAAUUCUAGAAAAUUUAUUAAUUUGUUUGUUGCUGGUUUUGAAAACCUAGUCUUUAGGUGACUGGGAACCACAUUAUAAUCUUUAGAUUGGGCUGGAGGUUGCUUCGAUGUCAAUGAUGAUGCCAUGGCCAUAUGUUGGGUGAUAGAAGAAGUGCAUGGAAUUAGGAUUUAUUAGAAACAAGCAGAAUUUAUUCUGACAUAUAAGAUUUACAUCUUGUGUAUUGUAUACAAGUCUAUAUGUAUGCUACUCUGUACCACAUCACAUACAAGUUCCAUUCUACCACUCUUGAACUAAGUAAUCUGAUUGCUUAAAGAAUGAACUUGAUGCAGUUGGGCAAUGGAUUUAGAAGAAAUACCUUUGAUUGGUUUCCUUAUUACUUCCCUUUUUAGGUUUAGAAUUAGUUUGGCAGUACUCUUAUUUGAUGAGAUUUUAUUUCUAUCCUGGUUUAGAUGCAAUAUUUGUUCCAGUUUCAAUUAGGAAAGUAGGUUUAUUUUCAAGUCUUUAAAUAGUGUUUCUGUAGCCAGCGGAGGAGGGAAUUUUGAUUUGAAUGAAUUUGAACAAUGAUGUUUUGGUUGGAAACGAAGGCUGCCAUGGGUUGUUUUCUUCUUCCCCUUCCCUGACUUUUUUUUUUCCCUCUGUUCUUCCUCUCAUACUAUUCAUUCUCUCUAUUGCUGGUUGAUCCCCUGUUCUGGGUGAUAGAUACAGCCUCAGAUUAGUGGAUCGAACUCCUUAGUGCUCGAUUUGGUGGGACUGAGACUUUGGUUGUAAGUUCCUUCCCCUUGGGUGACAUAACUCCUCAAGCUCCAGCUCCAAAGCCCUCCUCAGUCCUGAGAUUGAAGUCAAGUUUCAGUCCUGCCCUGGGUGUUAUCACCAUCUUCAGUUUCGGGUGCUUCCCACAUCCUUCCAGCCUGCCGACCUGACCAGCUAUUAUGUGGAUUUGGAAGAGCCUCCUCUUGCGACCCCACGCCUGAAAUUUCAUGCCUAACAGAGAGGGUUUGAAGGAGCUACUCCCAUCGCAAGCUGCUGCCCCUUCUCUUCUUGUAGGUCGACCAAGGAAGGAGAAGACUUGGUCGUGGGUUAUUUAGGGUAACUACUCCCCUGGUUUGACCAUUAUACCCUUCCUUUACUUAUUAAUCUCUUUUGUCCUAACUUUAAUUGUGAUUUCCUGAACUGCCCUUGCUUAUUAGUCGAUUGAACCUUUUUUUGUGUUUUAAGUUCUGCCUAAUUACAAAACUGCCACCUCCUUUAAAACUUCCAUUUAUUUAUAGAACUGCCAUUCUCUUUGAUAUUUGGGUUAUAAAAUUGUGCCAUUGAUUAAUUAAGUGGGCCCUAAGCAAUCCGAUUUCAGUCCUUGGAAUCCGGAUCCGCAUCAAAACUACUUUGGAACCAUUACAGUUAAUUCAGCCUUAGAUUGAGACAUUAUUGGGAAUUCCUCUUCCAGUUGGCCCACCAAUACCAGAAUAAUUGUAAGUGUCUAGAUAGAGCUAGGUGUAUGGGAUCAAGACAGGCCCUAUUCGACUCCUCAAUCUUUCAUCAUUGUUCAUCUCUAUACUUCUAUUCCCAAUCUUUACUAGCCUCUUUCCAAAUUCUUCAAAAGCUUCCAAUGGUUCUGUAUCUGAUGUCCAGUUUAGAGUGUCCCUUUGCCCAAGAUAGACCUCAUCAGAAGAAUGUGUGGAACCUGUCAUGAAUCUGAUGUCCUACUUCCAAAUUCUUCAAAAGCUUUCAAUUGGGGCAUGCGUAUGUAACCUGCAAACAGAAUAAGAAAAUCAUUAAUUAAACUGUUAUGAAUCAGGUUCUUAUCACAAAUCUUCCAAUGUGAACCAUUUAACUACCAGUGACUGAUAAGCUGGUGAACACCAGAGUCAUUCACAGCUACAUAAGCUUUAGUCAGUUGCCAUACUGAGGCCUCAACAACUUCUUCAGCAGGGGUGUAGACCUUACUAAUUGCACCAUAUUCAUCACCAUCUGGAUGUGGUAGACUCAACUCAAUUGCCAGUGGCUUCAAGGUCCCAUCCUCUUUCAAGAAGAGCAGUGUUCUAGUUGCAUAGGUCUUUGUGGUAGUGGUGUUUAUACACCUUAGAUAUGGCAUUUCUUUCUUUGGUUAAAAAAGGACAAUUUCCAUGGGUUCAUUAAAGUGAAAGAAAACAGAGAAACAAAGGAAUACAUAGUAGCCUAUUCCUUUCAUGGCUCAUGCAUUUGAACCUUCCAAUUGGAUAGUUCCUGUAGAAAAAUUCCCACAUAUAUCUUAAUCUUUUUACUAUUUCUUAAAAUUAUUUUCCUUUUUGUAGUAAUUGGAAUCAUAAAUAUCAAGUUUGUGCUGGUCAUAAGACAACCCAGUUCCUGAUUCACACUGAAUCAAAGAUGAAACUACAAAUAAUCACCAAAACACCAAAUCUACCCAUUUGAUCCUUUUUUUUUUUCUGAACCAUUGGCCCAUUCAACCUGCUCUGACCCAAUUUUCCUUUUAGUUGCUUUCUUUGUUAACCUUUUUUUUUUGUUUACAGGUCAAAGAUCAGUUGAGAAUGAAAGAGUAGUGUUAUCAAUACCUGUUGGAUUAGAAGAAAGAUUUUGGUGUGGCAAGGAGGAGAUCAUUGAUCAGGGUUUGGAUCAAAAGAUAGAAAGCCAAGUUUUUCGGAACAGGACUUUGAUAAAUUAAAGAUAUGCUCUUUUUUACUUUGGUAGUGUAAAUUCUUGAUGACUUUGACAAGUUUGGAAUGUAAUACUGGCUUGACUAGAUAUUAGUGAUCGAUAAUAAUAUAUUGAUGUCUUGAUUACGUAAAA